UACGUAGGUGGCAAGCGUUGUCCGGAAUUAUUGGGCGUAAAGCGCGCGCAGGCGGUCCUUUAAGUCUGAUGUGAAAGCCCACGGCUUAACCGUGGAGGGUCAUUGGAAACUGGGGGACUUGAGUACAGAAGAGAAGAGUGGAAUUCCACGUGUAGCGGUGAAAUGCGUAGAGAUGUGGAGGAACACCAGUGGCGAAGGCGACUCUUUGGUCUGUAACUGACGCUGAGGCGCGAAAGCGUGGGGAGCAAACAGG
rnacentral:rRNA from 1 species